CAGCCGUAAACUAUGCGCGUUAGGUGUAUCGGUGACCACGAGUUACCGAGGUGCCGAAGGGAAACCGUGAAACGUGCCGCCUGGGAAGUACGGUCGCAAGGCUGAAACUUAAAGGAAUUGGCGGGGGAGCGCCACAACAGGUGGAGCCUGCGGUUUAAUUGGACUCAACGCCGGGAAGCUCACCGGAUAGGACAGCAGAAUGAUUGCCGGGCUGAAGACCCUGCAUGACUAGCUGAGAGGAGGUGCAUGGCGUCAGUGACU
rnacentral:rRNA from 1 species